rnacentral:lncRNA from 1 species
GCCCAGUGGGGCUGGGCUCCGGCGGUGGGCUCAGGAAGCCCACGGCGCCCGGCAGGACUCAUGUUCGCUUGUUCCUUCCUUCCCGCUCCCACUAUUGUUGAGGAGCAGCACUGCUGUCCUGGAGCAGGCCACAUCUUCCCAGAGAGUGACACGUCGCCCUACAAAGACAAUCGCCUUUACUUUACUAGUUCCCUAAGCGCUCCGAGAGCUGCCACCUCCCAUCAAGCCGCCUUUGCUUUGGUUUACCAAAAUCCUCCUCCUAGCAGCCCUGUAACUCCAGGGAGGCCUUGGACGUCCUGGCCUUAAGAAUGGCAGGGAUACUGAGAGAAAGCCUCUACAAAGGAAAAUUGCGUCGACUGAGUUAGCGGGAGGAUGAGGGGCCACUCUUGGACUCAGGCCCCCCUAAGCUGCAGUCGCGUACAGCCGUGGGCCUUGGACUAACCUUUUAACCUCUCUGAGACUCAAGUUCCCUCAUCUGCAAAACGGAGAUAAGAAUAGGUACCUCUCAGAGGAGGGGACAGGAUUAUGAGCGAGUACAUGGGAAACACGGUUGAUGCUACGGGACCCUUUAAUCUUAGUCACUUUGGGACACUGCAGAGUUGAUAUAAGGAAGCCUUCAAUGUGUUAAGAGAGAAUGUGGUAAAAGCAAACGGCCCAUUUUGUCAGAUUCUGUUACAAGCAACUGUUGAACUACAUUGAAGUUUAAAAGGGUAUUUUUACAGGAACCUGACUCCAUCAACCGUGGCAGCUUCCCCACUGAUUCUGUGGUGGACUCUGAGGUGUGCCACCAGAUUCCUCUUCAGGAAAGGACUUGUCUCAUCUGCUGGAAAUGCUGUUAGCAGAAAACCUUCUACCGUCACCUCUUUUGGAGUCUGCAUCCCCUUCCCCGUGCAGCCCAAAUCCAGUGAUUGAUAGAGGCAGCAGUAGAAAGGCAAGGCCAUUCCACCACAGUGCAGGACAGUGAUGGACUGUUUUCAGUCCAGAGUACCCAUAGGAUCAGCUGAGGCUGACUAC